rnacentral:rRNA from 1 species
UUUAAGGUCUAACCUGCCCAAUGAUUAUUUAAAUGGCCGCAGUAUUUUGACUGUGCAAAGGUAGCAUAAUUAUUAGUUUUUUAAUUGAGAGCUUGUAUGAAAGGUUGGACGAGAUAACAACUGUCUUUAUUUAAUUAAUAUAGAAUUUAACUUUUAAGUUAAAAGGCUUAAAUUUAAUUAAAAGACGAGAAGACCCUAUAGAUCUUUAUUUUUAAAUUAAUUUAUUUAGUUAGGAUUAUUUAAAAAUUAAUUUAUUUAAAAAUUUUAUUGGGGUAAUAUGGAGAUUAAUUAAAUUCUUUAUUUUAGUAACAUUUAUUUAUGAAAAAUUGAUCCAAUUUUAUUGAUUAUAAGAUUAAGUUACCUUAGGGAUAACAGCGUAAUUUUUUUGGAGAGUUCUUAUCGAUAAAAAAGUUUGCGACCUCGAUGUUGGAUUAAAAAUUAUUUUGGGUGAAGAAGUUCAAAAAUUUAGUCUGUUCGACUAUUAAAUUUUUACAUGAUCUGAGUUCAGACCGGCGUAAGCCAGGUCGGUUUCUAUCUUUAGUUUUAUUUAAAUAUUUUAGUACGAAAGGACCAAGUAUUUUAUAUAUUAAUAUUUAUAUUUUGAAUUUUAUU